UCCUUCCUGGACACAAGUAACCGGAUAUGGGUUAAACGCGCGCCACUCCACACUCAUCAAUGAUGAUUUUGACUAAAGUUUGGAAAUGACGCAGAAACAUCAUAAUGGCAAAAGGAAAAAACGGAGAAAGGAUGAAAAGGGGAAAAGGGGGAAAUGGGGAGAGAGGGUGAGGGGCAGGAAGAGGAGAGGAGAAAAUGAGAGACGUGGGGGAGGAAACAGUGAGGGACUCAGAGUGAGGAGUGGGGGCGGGGAGAGCCAAGAGGAAGCUCUGCCCAGUUUCUAUGGAAACGCCCCAUCCCAGAGUCUGGAUGUGGUCUCUAGAAUCUGCCUCCCCAUUGAUUUCCGGUUUCGGUGAUUGGCUUACUCGUCGUCCAAUCAUCUUCGCUCGUUUCCGUUGUUCGCUGGGUGCUUCCGGUCUUGUAAGAAGUAAGAAGUGAGAUGGCGCCUCCUGAGCUCCAGCUCCUGAGAUAAACUCUGCGGGAGGUCCGUGAUCUCUUUCCAUGGAGAACCCCCACGGCGUUAAGGGUAGUGGGCAAUCUGAAGAACUGAAGCCAUCAUGCCUUGAGAGGUUAGUUAGUGUUUCUG